rnacentral:rRNA from 1 species
AUGGCGGCCAUGUCCACCAUCCUGCCACCCACCUACGCCGUCGGGCCGUUGCCGCUCCUCCUCGGCCAUGUCUCUAGCGGCGUGGCUGACACGCUGGAAUCCAACUUGUCCAAGGAGAACAACGCCAGCCUAGAGUGGUUGGAGGGCAAGCGGCCAGACCCGGUGCUGUACGUGAGCUUCGGGAGCAUCACGACACUCAUGAGCAUCGCGUGGGGUCUGGCCAACAGUAAAAUGGAUUUCCUGUGGGUGCUGCCACCGGAGUUCCUGGAGGAGACGAAGGCGAGGAGCCACGUAACGAGCUGGUGCCCGCAGGAGGCGGUGCUCCGGCACGAGGCGAUGGGCGCGUUCCUGACGCACUGCGGGUGGAACUCGGUCCUGGAGAGCCUCAGCGCCGGGGUGCCGAUGCUGUGCUGGCCCUUCGGCGCCGAUCAGUACACGAAUGCAAGGUACGUCUGCUCCGAGUGGCGCGCCGGCAUGGAGAUCGGCGGCGAUGUCGAAAGGGAUGAGGUGGAGGCGGCCGUCCGGGAGGUGAUGGGAGGAGGGGGCAAGGGAGAAGAGAUGAAGAGAAUGGCCAUGGAAUGGAAGGAGAAGGCUGCCAUGGCUGCACUGCCAGGUGGGCCAUCUUGGGUAAAUCUGAAGAAGGUGGUCAAUGAGGUGCUUAGUGUGGCUCCUGCGAGGAAUAUGGAUGUGGAAUUAUGA